AAUCAACGCUGGCGGCGUGCCUAACACAUGCAAGUCGAACGCGAAAGCCCCUUCGGGGGUAAGUAGAGUGGCGUCCGGGUGAGUAACACGUAGGUAAUCUACCUUCGGGUGGGGAAGUAACUCGCCGAAGGCGAGCUAAUACCGCAUAAUGCAGCGGCACCUAAUGGUGAUUAGUUGUUAAAGCGGGGGAUCGUAAGACUCGCGCCUGAAGAGGAGCCUGCGGCAGAUUAGCUAG
rnacentral:rRNA from 1 species